UGAUGGUUCAAGUAAUUAUAACGUCCUUUGUAAAUGUUAUAUCCGAAUUCAACAAUCGUUGAUUGAUUACUUGUUAACGAGUUUCUGUCGAUAUUAUCACAGUGCCCUGACAUUUCUGAGGCUACACCGGUGGGGGAUCUAGAGAUGACAUCAACUUUAAAAGUAAAUGUACAUAUACCAUUGACUGUACAUCUAUUAAUCUCGAUAAAUGUAACUCUUUGAUGAACCAAUAUAAAUUGUUAAUAUUGUUACAAGAUAUCGACGAUGAUAGAUCACCUCACACAAUUUCCCCGUCGAUACUUUUUGUGAUGAUUCCGCGGCUUGACGUUUCUAAGGCUACACCGAUAGGGGAUUAAGAGAUGACAUCAACUCCAAAAAUAGAUUGUCUCGGUGUUGAGGAGGCCACAUUGAGAAGGGAUCCCAUUAUGACAUCUAUUUCGAUAUUAGGAAUAUUGUUGACGACGAUGGAUCACCCCAUGAGGAUGCUUCAUUAUCACCUUGGGCAGAGGAUCUCCGUUUGGUCUAUCUUAACACUCCAAGCAAGGGAAAACAGUGAUCAAUAUUGCCUCUCAGGAUGACGAAGUCACUGAUGAUGUGGUUGAGCUCUCUGCACAAGUGGACUUCAUUCAGGUGAUCAAUAUUGCUUCUCAGGACGAUGAAGUCACUGAUGAUGUAGUUAAGCUCUCUGCACAAGUGGACUUCAUUCAGGUAAUUAAGUUUUCAAGAAAUUUAAUAAGUAUGAUUGAAAAAAUAUAUUAUUUAUUUACUGAAUUUGUGUAUUUACCUACAAUAGGUCUCGAAAGAUAAUAUAGUUGACCUAACUUCAUUUGCAGAUUCUCCAACUAUGACUAUAGUUUUACAGAAGGUAUUAAAAAAUUUAUAAAAAUCUCACGAGUUAAUGUAAUUUUAAAUGAUGUAUUAUUUGUUUGGCCA